ACCCGCUGAACUUAAGCAUAUCAAUAAGCGGAGGAAAAGAAACCAACAGGGAUUGCCCUAGUAACGGCGAGUGAAGCGGCAACAGCUCAAAUUUGAAAUCUGGCUCUUUUAGAGUCCGAGUUGUAAUUUGCAGAGGGCGCUUUGGCUUUGGCAGCGGUCCAAGUUCCUUGGAACAGGACGUCACAGAGGGUGAGAAUCCCGUACGUGGUCGCUGGCUAUUGCCGUGUAAAGCCCCUUCGACGAGUCGAGUUGUUUGGGAAUGCAGCUCUAAAUGGGAGGUACAUUUCUUCUAAAGCUAAAUAUUGGCCAGAGACCGAUAGCGCACAAGUAGAGUGAUCGAAAGAUGAAAAGCACUUUGGAAAGAGCGUCAAACAGCACGUGAAAUUGUUGAAAGGGAAGCGCUUGCAGCCAGACUUGCUUACAGUUGCUCAUCCGGGCUUUUGCCCGGUGCACUCUUCUGUAGGCAGGCCAGCAUCAGUUUGGGCGGUAGGAUAAAGGUCUCUGUCACGUACCUCUCUUCGGGGAGGCCUUAUAGGGGAGACGACAUACUACCAGCCUGGACUGAGGUCCGCGCAUCUGCUAGGAUGCUGGCGUAAUGGCUGU
rnacentral:rRNA from 1 species